AUAAUUUAUUUAUCAAUUAUUCAUAAAUUUGGUGUUUGAGGUGGACCUUGAUUCAACAUAGCUCUUGUUGAUGGUAGAAACUUUCAAAUCAUUAACAGGAGAAUAUGUGGGCGUGUGUUUGGAUAUCCUGUUGCCUUCUGCAUCCACAAGUGAGGCAUGGGCUUGAGGAAUUGAAUUCUACAUUUUUCUUCAAAUUGCUUUUGUGUGUAUCAGAACAACAAAUGAGAAAAGUUCCUGCACAGACCACAGUUGUUCAAGUCACCUGUAAUUCAUCCAAUUACUAGUCAAUAUCUUUAAAUUGUUUCCACUUUACCAUACUAGUUCUACGCUUAUUUAAUACUCUUACUGCAUUUUUAUUGGCUUAUUGAUUGAAUGGUAAAGUGGGAUGGCACAAAUCUCUUAUUUUUAAUCAUAUGGGAGUUAAAGGCAACUUAAUCUAGUUUGAUGUUAAUGAUGUAAUCACAGUUUUACA